CUUAAAAACUGUGAAAGAAAACCUGAUAUCUAAUAAGCAAACAUUCUUAAAAUAUUAAUCUACAUAUAAUAUUUUAAUAAAUGAAAACAACGAUGGAAUUGAAAACCACACUCUGUAGUGACAUUAAUUUGAGACCACGUGAUAUUGGGAUGCGGCUACGUAUAACUGGAGAUGAAUUCUUUAAUGAAUGGUGUCAAGAAAAACAAGAACGAUACCAAAAAUCUAAAGAAUCAUACCGAAGCAUUUUUCCUUACCCUGGGAUACUGGCGCACUAUAUAUACAAAGACUGUUUCUUGUGACAAGACGAAGAUAUGCUAGUCGUUUAAUUAUUUCGAUGGAAUCCGUUAAGGAUACAAUGAAGCUUCGGAGAGCUCUGAACCCCAGCGACGGCAAGUCACGGCGCUGACAAACGAAUGAACAGCUAUUGAAUCAUGCACAAUUCAUUUCUCAACGACUGUUUUAUGAUUCACGAGCUUUGAAAAAAAACCCCACAUAACCUGUGCUAAAGGAUAUCAACCGCAGUUGUUGACGUUAUCUAUAUACAAAACUCAUAUGGUGUCUUUAUUGUCCCUUCUGAUAUACAUGAAUUAUGUUUGUAUGAUGAUAGUACUCAAUAGAUUAAUUGAAAUGACUUUUCGAAGCAAACUGCGCGAAAACGUGUGUUUACCAAGAAGAUUUCAUAGUACUGUUAUGCUUCGCUUGAAAAGACAAAGUGAGACUUUAACACUCUACUGCAAUUACAGAUAUUUUAAAAGUGCCAAAGUGUUAUGUUAUGUUAUUAAUCUAUUAAUUCAGUAACUUGUUGGUACAUGUAUACUUAGAUAUUGUUACAUUUCAGACAGAAUUACAACUUCAUAUGCAUGCAUAUUUAUAAUACUAUUUUAAAUAUGUAAAAUGAUUAAAAACUAUACA